rnacentral:rRNA from 1 species
UACGUAGGGGGCAAGCGUUGUCCGGAUUUAUUGGGCGUAAAGAGCGUGUAGGCGGCCAUACAGGUCAGCUGUGAAAACUCGAGGCUCAACCUCGAGACGUCGGUUGAAACCGUAUGGCUAGAGUCCGGAAGAGGAGAGUGGAAUUCCCGGUGUAGCGGUGAAAUGCGCAGAUAUCGGGAAGAACACCUAUGGCGAAGGCAGCUCUCUGGGACGGUACUGACGCUGAGACGCGAAAGCGUGGGGAGCGAGCAGG